AAAGACAGCAUGACUCCAGUCAGCAAAAAUGUCUGUGGCUCCAAUCAGCUUGGGGUGACAUUGCCAACUUGGACUAGCUACAAGCAAACUAUCAAAUGAUAGCAGCAACUAUCAAAGCUAACAACAAGGAUGAGGACCACAGCAAUGAUACACCCUGUUUUCCUGCCAACAUACUCUUAGUCAUCAGAUGUUUGGUACUCAAGCAAAACUCUUUCAAUCCUGUAUCACAUUCUGAAACCUGAGAUCAUCUAGAUGAGUGGCACACAGGAUAUCAUGUUUUAUUCAUCAAAAAGGAUGUUAAAGUCAUCAUACCUUAAAUUAGAAACAGUGCAGCUUAUUGAUACCAAAAACAUGCAAAUAUGCAAUAAUUUUAGCAUGAAGUAUAAAUUGUUUUACAGAUGUAAAAUAGACUGGUAUCUGCUAUCUAAUAAAACACCUGUUGUGUUCCCUCUUU